rnacentral:rRNA from 1 species
GACGAACGCUGGCGGCGUGCUUAACACAUGCAAGUCGAACGGAAAGGCCCUGCUUUUGUGGGGUGCUCGAGUGGCGAACGGGUGAGUAACACGUGAGUAACCUGCCCUUGACUUUGGGAUAACUUCAGGAAACUGGGGCUAAUACCGGAUAGGAGCUCCUGCUGCAUGGUGGGGGUUGGAAAGUUUCGGCGGUUGGGGAUGGACUCGCGGCUUAUCAGCUUGUUGGUGGGGUAGUGGCUUACCAAGGCUUUGACGGGUAGCCGGCCUGAGAGGGUGACCGGCCACAUGGGGACUGAGAUAGGGCCCAGACGCCUACGGGAGGCAGCAGUGGGGAAUAUUGCACAAUGGGCGGAAGCCUGAUGCAGCAACGCCGCGUGCGGGAUGACGGCCUUCGGGUUGUAAACCGCUUUCGCCUGUGACGAAGCGUGAGUGACGGUAAUGGGUAAAGAAGCACCGGCUAACUACGUG